GGUUUGAUCCUGGCUCAGGUGAACGCUGGCGGGAUGCUUACGCGCCGCAAGUCGAACAGCGGCGGCACGGACUUCGGUCUGGUGGCAGGUGGCGGGCAGGUGAGUAAUGUCUCGGAACGUGCCUAGUAGCGGGGGAUAACUACGCGAAAGCGUAGCUAAUACCGCAUACGCCCUUCGGGGGAAAGCAGAGACCUUCAGGGCCUCGCACUAUUAGAGCAGCCGAUAUCGAGAUUAGCUAGUUAGCGGAGUAGCAGCUCGCAAGGCGACGAUCCGUGGCUGGUUUGAGAGGACGACCAGCCGCACUGGGACUGAGACACGGCCCAGACUCCUGGGAGGCAGCCCAGUGGGAAUUUUUGGACAGUGGGAAACCCUGAUCCAACCAUCCGCGUGUGCGACAGAAGGCCUUCCGGGUUGUAAAGCACUUUGGCAGGAAAGAAACGGCACGGGAUAAUACCCCGUGCAACUGACGGUCACCUGCAGAAUAAGCACCGGCUAACUAACGAUGCCGGCAGCCGCGACAGCCGUAGGGUGCAAGCGUUAAUCGGAAUUACUGGGCGUAAAGCGUGCGCAGGCGGUUCCCGGAAAAGAAAGAUCUCUUGAAAUCCAGAAGCUUAACUUUGGAACUGCGUUCCCAACUACCGAGCUAGAGAGUGUCAGGGAGGUGGAAUUCCGCGUGUAGCAGUGAAGUGCGUAGAUAUGGAGGAACACGAUAGCGAGCGGCCUCCUGGGGGAUAACACUGACGCUCAUGCAGCGUGGGGAGCAAACAGGAUUAGAUACCCUGGUGAUCCGCCUAAACGAUGUCAACUAGCUGUUGGGGCCUUCGGGCCUUGGUAGCGCAGCUAACGCGUGAAGUUGACCGCCUGGGGAAUGCAGUCGCAAGAUUAAAACUCAAAGGAAUUGACAGGGACCCGCACAAGCGGUGGAUGAUAUUGUGGAUUAAUUCGAUGCAACGCGAAAAACCUUACCUACCUUGACAUGUCUGGAAUCCCGAAGAGAUUUGGGAGUGCUCGCAAGAAACCGGAACACAGGUGCUGCAUGGCUUGUCGUCAGCUCAUUGUCGUGAGAUGUUGGGUUAAGUCCCGCAACAAGCGCAACCCUCGUCUGUUGGUUGCUACGAGGCACUCUAAUGAGACUGCCGGUGACAAACCGGAGGAAGGAGUGGGGAUGGCGUCAAGUCUCAUAGCCCUUGCGGGUGAGACCCGCACGUCAUACAAUGGUCGGAACAGAGGUCGCCAACCCGCGAGGGGCCAAUCCCAGAAACCCGAUCGUAGUCAGGAUCGCGAUCUGCAACUCGACUGCGUGAAGUCGGAAUCGCUAGUAAUCGCGGAUCAGCAUGUCGCGGUGAAUACGUUCCCGGGUCUUGUACACCGCCCGUCUACCAUGGGAAUUAGGUUUUACCAGAAGUAGUUAGCCUAACCGUAAGGGCGAUUACCACGGUAGGAUUCAUGACUGGGGUGAAGUCGUAACAAGGUAG
rnacentral:rRNA from 1 species